rnacentral:rRNA from 1 species
UACGAAGGGGGCUAGCGUUGCUCGGAAUCACUGGGCGUAAAGGGUGCGUAGGCGGGUCUUUAAGUCAGGGGUGAAAUCCUGGAGCUCAACUCCAGAACUGCCUUUGAUACUGAGGAUCUUGAGUUCGGGAGAGGUGAGUGGAACUGCGAGUGUAGAGGUGAAAUUCGUAGAUAUUCGCAAGAACACCCGUGGCGAAGGCGGCUCUCUGGUACGUGACUGACGCUGAGACGGCGAAAGCGUUGGGGAGCAAACAGG